CCGUUGGGGACCCAGCGGAGGGAUCAUUA
rnacentral:rRNA from 1 species